GGAGAGUUUGAUCCUGGCUCAGGACGAACGCUGGCGGCGUGCCUAAUACAUGCAAGUCGAGCGGACAGAUGGGAGCUUGCUCCCUGAUGUUAGCGGCGGACGGGUGAGUAACACGUGGGUAACCUGCCUGUAAGACUGGGAUAACUCCGGGAAACCGGGGCUAAUACCGGAUGGUUGUUUGAACCGCAUGGUUCAAACAUAAAAGGUGGCUUCGGCUACCACUUACAGAUGGACCCGCGGCGCAUUAGCUAGUUGGUGAGGUAACGGCUCACCAAGGCAACGAUGCGUAGCCGACCUGAGAGGGUGAUCGGCCACACUGGGACUGAGAC
rnacentral:rRNA from 1 species